AACAAAAACACAAAAGCAAACUAAAAGCACCCACACACACACAUGCUUGGCUCACUAAGAGAUAGAUUUUCUAAAACCUUGAACAUGUGAAUGAUCCUCCUGGACCCACUUCCUCCUCCACGGUGCCUGGCAGCUGCUCAGUGUGAGGAGCGUGACACAAGACCCACAGAGGAUUGUUCACGUUACACAAAAAAAAAGUAAGAAAUG